GCCGUCGUAGCUCAGGGGUAGAGCGCACCCUUGGUAAGGGUGAGGUCGGUGGUUCAAUUCCACCCGACGGCA
rnacentral:tRNA from 1 species